rnacentral:tRNA from 1 species
CAAGGUAUAGCUCAGUGGUAGAGCAUGUGCUUAGCGUGCAUGAAGCCCUGGGUUCAGUCCCCAGUACCUCCA